rnacentral:rRNA from 1 species
AGCAUACUCAUUUGACGUUAGCUGCAGAAGAAGCACCGGCUAACUCCGUGCCAGCAGCCGCGGUAAUACGGAGGGUGCGAGCGUUAAUCGGAAUUACUGGGCGUAAAGCGCAUGCAGGUGGUUUGUUAAGUCAGAUGUGAAAGCCCGGGGCUCAACCUCGGAAUUGCAUUUGAAACUGGCAAACUAGAGUACUGUAGAGGGGGGUAGAAUUUCAGGUGUAGCGGUGAAAUGCGUAGAGAUCUGAAGGAAUACCGGUGGCGAAGGCGGCCCCCCUGGACAGAUACUGACACUCAGAUGCGAAAGCGUGGGGAGCAAACAGGAUUAGAUACCCUGGUAG